GAGGUUACUACCGACUAAAUCGCAUCUCGGGCCGUCAAAUAUUGCGGUUUUUUGGUUUUGUUUUUUCCUUCGGAAGGAAAAAACAAAACCAAAAAACCGCAAUAUUUGACGGCCCGAGAUGCGAUUUAGUCGGUAGUAACCUC
rnacentral:pre_miRNA from 1 species